rnacentral:rRNA from 1 species
ACCCGCACAAGCGGUGGAUGAUGUGGUUAAUUCGAUGCAACGCGAAAACCUUACCCACCUUUGACAUGUACGGAAUCCUUUAGAGAUAGAGGAGUGCUCGAAAGAGAACCGUAACACAGGUGCUGCAUGGCUGUCGUCAGCUCGUGUCGUGAGAUGUUGGGUUAAGUCCCGCAACGAGCGCAACCCUUGUCAUUAGUUGCUACAUUCAGUUGGGCACUCUAAUGAGACUGCCGGUGACAAACCGGAGGAAGGUGGGGAUGACGUCAAGUCCUCAUGGCCCUUAUAGGUGGGGCUACACACGUCAUACAAUGGAUGGUACAAAGGGUCGCCAACCCGCGAGGGGGAGCCAAUCCCAUAAAGCCAUUCGUAGUCCGAAUCGCAGUCUGCAACUCGACUGCGUGAAGUCGGAAUCGCUAGUAAUCGUGGAUCAGAAUGUCACGGUGAAUACGUUCCCGGGCCUU